GCCAGACUCCUACGGGAGGCAGCAGUGAGGAAUAUUGGUCAAUGGGCGGGAGCCUGAACCAGCCAAGUCGCGUGAGGGAUGACGGCCCUAUGGGUUGUAAACCUCUUUUGCCGGGGAGCAAAGUGCCGCACGUGUGCGGUUUGGAGAGUACCCGGAGAAAAAGCAUCGGCUAACUCCGUGCCAGCAGCCGCGGUAAUACGUAGGGAGCAAGCGUUAUCCGGAUUUAUUGGGUGUAAAGGGUGCGUAGACGGGAAAACAAGUUAGUUGUGAAAUCCCUCGGCUUAACUGAGGAACUGCAACUAAAACUAUUUUUCUUGAGUGUUGGAGAGGAAAGUGGAAUUCCUAGUGUAGCGGUGAAAUGCGUAGAUAUUAGGAGGAACACCAGUGGCGAAGGCGACUUUCUGGACAAUAACUGACGUUGAGGCACGAAAGUGUGGGGAGCAAACAGGAUUAGAUACCCGAGUAC
rnacentral:rRNA from 1 species